rnacentral:rRNA from 1 species
GAUGAACGCUAGCGGCAGGCUUAACACAUGCAAGUCGAGGGGGCAGCACGAGGUAGCAAUACUUUGGUGGCGACCGGCGCACGGGUGCGUAACGCGUAUGCAACCUACCUUUAACAGGGGCAUAACACUGAGAAAUUGGUACUAAUUCCCCAUAACGUUCGAGAAGGCAUCUUCUUGGGUUAAAAACUCCGGUGGUUAAAGAUGGGCAUGCGUUGUAUUAGCUAGUUGUGAGUACGGCCACAAGGCAUCGAUGGAUAGGGGUUCUGAGAGGAA